AGGGUUUGAUCCUGGCUCAGAACGAACGCUGGCGGCAGGCUUAACACAUGCAAGUCGAGCGCGACCCCAACUUCGGUUGGUAAGUUGAGCGGCGGACGGGUGAGUAACGCGUGGGAAUAUACCCUUUGGUACGGAAUAGCCUCUGGAAACGGAGAGUAAUACCGUAUGUGCCCUUCGGGGGAAAGAUUUAUCGCCAAAGGAUUAGCCCGCGUUGGAUUAGGUAGUUGGUGGGGUAAUGGCCUACCAAGCCGACGAUCCAUAGCUGGUUUGAGAGGAUGAUCAGCCACACUGGGACUGAGACACGGCCCAGACUCCUACGGGAGGCAGCAGUGGGGAAUCUUGGACAAUGGGGGAAACCCUGAUCCAGCCAUGCCGCGUGAGUGACGAAGGCCCUAGGGUCGUAAAGCUCUUUCGCUGGGGAAGAUAAUGACGGUACCCAGUAAAGAAACCCCGGCUAACUCCGUGCCAGCAGCCGCGGUAAUACGGAGGGGGUUAGCGUUGUUCGGAAUUACUGGGCGUAAAGCGCACGUAGGCGGAUUGGAAAGUAUGGGGUGAAAUCCCAGGGCUCAACCCUGGAACUGCCUCAUAAACUCCCAGUCUUGAGUUCGAGAGAGGUGAGUGGAAUUCCGAGUGUAGAGGUGAAAUUCGUAGAUAUUCGGAGGAACACCAGUGGCGAAGGCGGCUCACUGGCUCGAUACU
rnacentral:rRNA from 1 species